AAGAAAAAGGCACCGUAUACUGUCACGUGUCGGUGAAACGAGUCCCGCAUUAAAAUAAUUCCCAAGUGGCGUAACGGCUAAAGGUGCCCGCUUUAACUCAAAGCCAAGAAAACCUCUCUCUCUCUCUCUCACACACACACUUUUCUCUCUCUUCUCUCUCUCUCUUCUUAGUCACACAGUGUGUGUGUGUGUUUUAUGCAUGUAGAUAUUCGUUUUUGCUUUUUCUGGUUUAGAAAGGGGUGGGAGUGAGAAUUUUCGAGAGGGAGAUAUAGUUCUGGCCGGGUUAAGGGUGUUGAGUCGACUCGGCGGCGGCGGCGGAGGGAACCGGCGGAGGAAGGUGAAGAUUAGGGUGAUGGAGUGGUGGCGCAAAAUUGUAUUUCCUGUUAGAAGGGCUUGGUUCGCUGUUUCGGCCCGUGUUAAAGCCCGCAAAAAUGGUGGGGGGCUUCUGAAGCUACACGAUGACAUACAAACUUGCGGGUACGAGGAUGUCCAAAUUAUGUGGGAGAUGCUGAGAAGGACGGAAACGGAAGUAGUGCCACAUCAGAAUAAGAGCAAGCAUCGAUGGUUCUUCAAGAAUCUGACGUGGACCAAUUAAUCACGGUGGAUCGGAGGACCAACUCCAUCUUUCUCCAGUACAGUUUAAACUCGGCGAGACGAAGAAAAAGUAAAAAAUGACUCCCUUGUCGAAGCUGGUAAAAUAAAUAAUUAAUAUAUGAUAUAGUUUUACAGAUUUAGCUUUCAGCUUUGUAAAUAUGGUAUGAUGAUCCUGGAAUCAGUUUUUACAGUGGGGUGAGCCCAUUUAACCUUUAAUAAAAUAAAAUUUAAAAAAAAAAAAAAAAAAAAAAAAAAAAAAAGAACUUUU